CAGCUGUUAAAUGGUAAUAAAACAAAAACCCAAUGUCAUUUUUAUAGGCUUAUAAGUUAUAGUUACUCAUUCCGGGCUAGGCCAAAAAUAGUGUAAACAAGUUUAAUAUUAAAAUACAGCAAUGAGUAAUGCACCGAUGCAUUUUUUGUCGAUUCAAGUAUUAAUUCAUUAUUUAUAUUUCAAAAAUACGAUAAGGCUCAAGUACGCGUUAAUGUUAAUUUUUAACUACCUAUCAACCUAUCUGGUUAUUAUUCGAAUACAAGUAGAUUUACAUUUAGUUUAUAAAAUAAUCCGAAUGUACCGGUGUAGAUUUCUAGACGGAUUUGCUGAUUUUCUAGUUGGUGGCUAACAUUUUUUAAUAGCAAUUUUAUCGUUUAUCAAGUUAACGAAGAAGCUGGUAAUAAAAACCUAAGACUAUAAUAAUCACUAAAUAAUAAUACCAACCUAUAAUUAUAAAUUAUGAUGUUAAAUUUUCAUUUUUCAACGAUAAUACGAUAAAUGCCGUUACCUAUAGGUAGUAGGUACUACUUAUAACAUAUACUUUAUGGUUUUAUGUAACACAACUACAAAAAUAUGAAAUUACGAUUUACGAAAUGAUAUUUUAAAGAUGCCUAUUACCUACCUAUCUAAAUAUUCUGAAUCAUGAUCACUACAAUAUUACAGCCUUCAAGGUCCAAGGCAGUUUACUGACUGAUGUUUCUGCUUAAUAGGUGUUGUUAAAGAUUCAGCUGAACCCUCUAACAGAUGCUCCAGUUGCUCCUAACAUAAAUGUGUCUGAAAUACCGACUGGUAGUUCAGUAGACAAUUGUCAAUGGUGUAGAUGAUGAUGAAAAAGAUAAAGAAAGUGUUACGACUAAAUAUCAAAAUAUUAUAUUUAUGAGUUUAUGACGUAAGUUGUACCUAAGUGAACAAAAUAUCAUUUGCAUUUUUCUUUCCGUUCACAUACCUACUUGGACGACACGCAUUGUAUACAUAGAUACUGGAGAGACAUGGAUAAUCUAAAAUACAUUAAAUGUAUUGUAAUCGCACGAACGUCAUAUGUCGAAGCACACGGAAAAUUAAAUGGUAAACAUGGAACGGCGUUUUAUAGAAAGCUGUCGCGCUGUCACAGGUGUAAUAAUAAUAGGAAAUAGUAUGUUCCUACCUAUAGUCAUCAUUUGCACAAUAUCUGUUUAUCUGCAUCAAAAUAUCAUACAUUGUUUGUACAUCAAUAUUUCAAAUAAUAAAAUGAUAUGAAAAUAUUGAAAACUAUAUAAAUUAAAGGUAAAUAUCGAAUUUUAAAAGA